AGUCAGGGUCUCCCUAUGUUGUCCAGGCUGCUUUUGAACCCCUGGGCUCAAGCUGUCCUCCCACCUCGGCCUCUCAAAGUGCUGGGAUUACAGGCAUGAGCCACCAAAACCAGCAUAAAGUUGUAAUUCCUUAGCAAUGUGUUGUACACUUCCUCUAUGUCACUUCAUCCCCAAUCAAAUUCACCUUUCUGCUCACCUACUCUCUUUGUUGUCUGCUUUCUGCCAUAUGACAACCAGCUCUUCCAACACCUUAGCCCAGAUUGAUUUUACAUGUGCUAUCUAGUGCAUGUUAUGUGUUUAUUUCAGCUAGAGAGGUUUCUGGAGUUAACCAAGUUUGCAUGUGUGUCUGGGGAUGCUUAGGAGAAUGUUGUAAAUGACCAGUAUACUAGAGUGACACUGUGAUUUGCUGCUUCUCCAUGCUGGUAGCAGCAGUCCCCAAAUCGUGCAGUGGUCAGCAUUUUAUUCAGGAGAAAAUUGCUGUAGUUCCAAGUAUUGUUAAACUGAAAAGAUGUAGACUGGAUUUACAUGUACAUUUGGAAAUAUUGUAUAUUUUGAAGGUAUUAUAAGUUUGAUUUUUUUUUUUUUUGGGUGAAAUAUCUGCACUCUCUCCAUGGAUCAAAUCAUUUUUGCACUUUUUAUUCCUUACUCCCACAAUUCGUUUGUUUGCUUUUCAUUCCUGAAAGCCUGCACUGAAGCUCUCUGGUACUUCUAUUUACUUUUUCUCUACCUUUAAUUUUCUUCAUUUUAUUUUUCAUUCCAUUCCUUUUUCUAUGUUUUCAAAAACUUUUUUUUUUUUUCUCAUUUAGCUCGUACUUUGCCAUGAGCUUGUGCUUUGCUAUGUUGGGGAUUUUAUUAUUUCUAUCUUAAUUCAAAGAAUAUAAACCAUACAAAAGCCUGCUGCCUUGUCAAAAGGAGUUCUGAAUCUGAAGCCCAAAAUAAUAUCCAGUAUAGUCUUAUACAAUUUGGCUGUAUUUCAGACAUGAAUAAUAUUGCUUUUCCAGGGUAAAGGAAAUUUUUGAUCUACUCUUUCUACCACAGCACUCAUUUGUCAUGAAUGUCCUGUUCUCAAAGUUAUUGAGUCAGUUGUGAUGACAGCUGGUUUUCUAAGCAGCCAGGAAAGAAGAGGAAUCUUUAUAUAUUUUUUCCCCUUUUUUUCUCAUCAGGAGCCAAGAAAGAAUAUUUAUAUACUUUAAAACCAGUCCUCAAGAGAGAACUAUCUGUACUCUCACCCCCCCAAAAAGGUUAUAUAUAUAUAUAUAUAUAUACACACACACACAUACACACACACACACACACACACACACACAUCUUAAUACUAAAUUCUGAAUUCUGGAUACUGUGUUGUUUCCUCAGAUCCAGCACCAGCUAAAGGAAAGGAGCUUGUAUAAAUCUUUUUGUUUCUAAUAAAAAUAUCCAGGUUCCUUACCAGUAGCACAUAGAUAGGGUAGACAGUUGUAUGAAUAUUAUGGGUACAAUGAAAGUAAUAGUAAGAAUUUAUGAGCUGACCAGAUUCAAGAAGGCCACGUGUCCAGCUCCGUCAGCUUCCAGAAGCAAUUCUUCCUGCCCCCAGCUCCACAUAAAGGACUGAGAAGUCUAGGAAGAAGCAUAACAAUGUCUGCUGGUAGUCAGUGUAGUUUAGUGGUUAAUUGCUGCCAUUACUCAAUUAGUUUAUUAGAUUCAAGAAGAAUAAUCAGCCAACAAAUACUUAUUAACAUGGAGGAAACGCUGACCGUAAGAUGUUAGGUGCUGGGGAAUGCAGUGGGAAAACAAAAGAGUUUAAAGGCUGGAGAGGAAGAUAAACGGUCAGCAAGUUAUCAGAGUUUAUCAGAUAAAUGAAUUCAAGAGUGCAAAAUACCAUGGGCAAGAAAUACAAGGUGUCAACAGUAGAAACUGAAUACAUACAUGCCUGUGGGCAUGUAUACCCAUCCACCCACAUAUAUACACAAGGAACAGAGCUUGAAAUGAAUCUGUCUUUCCUCCACCUCAAGUGGCAGCUUUGUUAAUUCCUGCAAAGCAAUAUAAAUAGCAGCUUCUCUAUGAAAUCAUAUAUACAUCCCUUUUCUGUUGCUGUUUAUUGAUGCCUGAGGAGGGCAAACAUGGGUUCUACUUAUGUCAGCAGACAGAGUUGCUGCAGUAAAAUUUAUUCAAAAUGAGUGAUUGUUGUGGGUUCUGAUUUGAAUAGAUAAGCUGUAGAUGCAUUUAUGAAUUUGCAUGUCUGUUUACAUAAGCAAUAGACCAUGGUGGCUGAAAGUCCACCACUAGAGGCUUCUGUUCUACAGUGGGUCCACUAGUUACUAGCUCUAUAGCCUUGGACAUACAUCUGUAAAGUGAAGAUAAAUAACCACAUUAACAACCUCAUAGUUUGCUAUGAGGAUUAAAUGAGUUAACACAUGCUAAGCCCUUGGAACAGUACAGUGCCUGGCACAGAGUAAUUGCUCUACAAAUGUCAUAUUGCUUUUGCUCUCCAAUCCCCCUGCCUUUUUUUUAGCCAACUAACUGAGCAGGAUAAUAUUGAAUCUCGUGGAUACAGGGAAAAUUUUCAUCAGCAGAAUACCAGAGAAAGAUUUAUUAAGUAUCACCAAGGGGGCCCAGGAAUUUAAUAACACAUUUGUUGUUUUUAGAGCUGAGUUUUUGUUAGAGUGUUAACUGAGAAAGAAAGUGUUUUCAGACGCGAAUGGAAUGUGACAUUUACUCUGGUAUUAUUAGCAUAUACAGUAGUAAAAACAGUAGUUGAUAGUCUUCAUGCAUGUUAGCUUCCUUUAGACUUAUUUUCAAAAUAUACAUUUGGUUUAUCACAACAUAUUGUGUCCCACUUAACAUAGUUGAGACAAAUUAAGGAAAGAUGAUAGGGUAUGAAGAGCUGAUAGAAGCUUUUAAUAUGUGGAAAACCUCAGAAUAUAAACAUCUACAGUGUUAUUAAUAGGCAUAUCAUCAACAACAGUUUUUCAGACUUUGUGCUUCACUCUGGAGAAAAACAAGAGCAUCACAUCUUGAAUUUUUUCAUUGGGUAAUUAAAAAACCCAGUUAUAAUGUAACACCAGCUGAACAUAGCAUGUUAGUGGAGUUCAGCAUCAAUUAAAAUUAUUAACGAAACCUGUCAUAUGUUCCCUUUCAAAACUGUUCAAGACAACUGUCCAAAUCAACAAAACAGUAUGAAUAUUUAUUACCAUAAAUCUUUUAACUCUUUGGUUUUAACUCAUUUCAAAUUUUUAGUUCUACUCUAUUCAAAUAAAUUAUUAUGUAAUAGCUAAUACAUACCAAGAGCUUACUGCAUAAUCUAGCUGCUGUUCCAGACAUCAGUAACUAAUGAGAAAACUGUAGAGAGUAGCUGCAGCUUUUAGUAAUACAACCUCAAGAAGAAAGUGGGGGCAGUACCGAAACUUAACGUAUAGUACCGUCCUUAGUACAGCAUUGACACUGACGGCCUCCUUCAGGAAAUACAAACCUGGUGAGGUUUUUAAUUACUAAUGCUAGAGAGUGGCGUUUUUCCGAGGACUAUGUUCCACUUGGUCUGUCUCUGAUGGCUAUUAACUAAUAAAACCGUUAUCAUUCUGCUGCUGUGGGAAGUACGCAACAACGGAAAAGUAAGCGAUAAUCUUAGAGCAUAACUCAGAAGGCCAGAGCAGCCAAGGAGGUGGUAGAGUCCCGAGCCCCGCCUUCCCCACAGCACCCCCAAAACCCCACGGCGGAGGAGAGCGCCUGGCAGGAUGCGAGCGGCCGCCAGCGUUUCCCGCGGGGCGCCGGGGUCGGCCCCGGGACUGGAGGCGGCGCCUCGGGAGCUGUGUGGCCGGCGUGCGUGCUCCGCCGGGGUCUUGGAGGCCGCUGGGCGCGUGCGCGGGCCGUUGCUACCUGCAGCCGAGCGAGGGAGCGAGAGGGCACCGAGAGCAGCUGGCUCGAGCAGCAUGAGGCCGGCAGGGGAGCGGUCCGUGGAAGGGGACGCAUGCGAUGGCCGCUCCGAGCUGGAGCUACUGAAGCUGCGCGCGGCGGAGUGCAUCGACGAGGCGGCCGAGCAGCUGGGGGCCCUGAGUCGCGCGAUCUGGAGCCAGCCCGAGCUGGCCUACGAGGAGCACCAUGCCCACCGCGUGCUGACGCACUUCUUCGAGCUGGAGCCGCCAGCCGCCUCCUGGGCAGUGCAGCCGCAUUACCAGCUGCCCACGGCCUUCCGCGCCCAGUGGGAGCCGCCGGAGGCCCAGGCGCCGAGCGCCGCGCCACGCCCGCUGCACCUGGGCUUCCUCUGCGAGUACGACGCGCUGCCUGGCAUCGGCCACGCCUGCGGCCACAACCUCAUCGCCGAGGUCGGGGCGGCGGCAGCGCUGGGCGUGAGGGGGGCCCUGGAGGGCCUCCCCAGGCCGCCUCCGCCCGUGAAGGUAAUUGUCCUGGGAACCCCUGCAGAAGAAGAUGGUGGUGGCAAAAUUGAUUUAAUUGAAGCAGGGGCUUUUACAAAUCUUGAUGUUGUUUUUAUGGCCCAUCCAUCACAAGAGAAUGCUGCUUAUCUACCAGAUAUGGCUGAACAUGAUGUGACUGUGAAAUACUAUGGAAAAGCAUCUCAUUCUGCUGCUUAUCCCUGGGAAGGAUUAAAUGCAUUAGAUGCUGCUGUGCUGGCCUAUAACAAUCUGUCUGUGUUCAGACAGCAAAUGAAACCAACCUGGAGAGUUCAUGGUAUAAUAAAAAAUGGUGGUGUAAAACCCAAUAUCAUUCCCUCUUAUUCUGAAUUAAUCUAUUACUUCCGUGCACCUUCAAUGAAAGAACUUCAAGUUUUGACCAAAAAGGCAGAAGAUUGCUUCAGAGCUGCAGCUUUGGCUUCAGGGUGCACAGUGGAAAUUAAAAGUGGAGCACAUGAUUAUUACAAUGUCCUUCCCAAUAAAAGCCUAUGGAAAGCCUAUAUGGAAAAUGGAAGAAAACUAGGAAUAGAAUUCAUUUCAGAAGAUACAAUGUUGAAUGGCCCUUCAGGUUUCUGCAGUCUAGCUGAAGAAGGAAAGACACACGGACAGCUGUACCCCGGGUUUGGGUUUUAUAUAAUGGAUAAAUCAGUAGGAUAAAGUGGCUGUGAUUUUGGUAUGAUUUGUGGGCUCUAGGGUCUAGCUCCUCAAGUAACAUCUUAAAAUAUGCAACAGGCUUUUUUUUUGUCCAUCCUAUUUUGUUUUGUUUUGUUUUGUUUUCACACUCAGACUGUUCAGACUCUUUAAACACCAGAGAGGCUUUUUCCAUCCUGUUCACUGAUGUCCCAUCACUGUGCAUCCUCAGUGUCUGGAGCCGUUUCUGGCACAGUUAAGUGCUUAGUGAAUAUUUUCUGAAGCAGUACUUUUAUAGAGGCUACUGUGCCUCAAAGUCUGGCCUCCGUCUGCAUUUGCCACAUAACUAGCAGCUGUGAGACUAUCGGCAUGUUACUUAAUACCCAUAAGCCUUGGUUUCUUCAUAUUUAAAAUGGAAACUGUUCUAAAUGUUAAUGAGAAUACAUACAAAGCACUGAGGAUUGUGUUUGGAAUGGAGUAUUCCAGAUAAAUGUUAGCUACUCUUUGUUACAUAUUCCUUUGUUCUCUUACCACUCACUGUGUAGUCUCACUUUGCCUGCCUGGUGUUUGACAUGUAAUAAACAUUCAGUAAAUAUCCAUUGAGUGAACAUAAGGUUUUGUUUUUACUGUGAUUUCUUCAGCAAGUGUCUGUGUGUCAAUCCUGUGAGAGGUUAGAUACACAGUCAUUUCAAAUACUAUUUCUUGCCGUAUACAGCCUCAUAAUCUAGUUUCUGAGAUAAGCAUGAACCAAAUCAUCCAAUACAUGGAAAAUUAAAAAGUACUGUAAAGGACAGCAAUACAUCUCUGUGAGAGCCUGUCCUAGAGGAAUUUCACUUUAUGGGGAGGUGAAGUAAGUAAAGCUUUGCUGAGAAAAUGAUGCUUAAGAUGGAAUUUGAAGGUUAAGUAAGAGUUACAGGGAUGAUGCAGGGAUAGCAUGUGCAAGGGUUCUGUGACGGGGAGAGCAUAGUGAGUGUCUAGAGUGGCUGGGGCAUAAAGGAUAGUGGGAACGUGGUAUGAGAUCAGGUUGGAAAGGUAAACGAAGAUUGAAAAAAAAAAUCAGCAAAUAGAGUAGAUGCUGCUAGACCAAUUAGAAAACUUUUAGUUCAGACAAGAGAUAAUGAUUGCAUAAACUGGAGACAGGUGUUGGUGAUGGUGAUGCAAAGAGCAUUAGGAUUCUGAGAUACUUGGCAGAUACUGUUGAUAGGUGGGGUGGAGGUAGAAGAGGAGAAAGAUCAUGAGUUUGACUUUAGAUAUGGUAAGUUUGAUCUACCUUGAAGACAUCCAAGAGAAGAUACCAGGCUGGCAACUGGAUGUAUGAGCAUAGAAUUUAGAAGAGACUGGGAAGAGAUUUGAGUUGGUGAUUAUUUGAAGCAAUACAUAUGGACAAAAUCUUGAGAAAGAAUAUGCAGUGAGAAGAGAAAGGGGCCUGGAAUGGAGUCUCCCGUAACUAAUAUUUCAUCGUCAGGUAGAGGGGGCUGUAUCCCCAAGAGAGACAGAAGAAGGGGCCGUCAGAGAGGCAGAAGGGAAGCCAUGCAAGUGCUGUGUCACAGAAGAGAAGAAAGGGAGUAAGUGACAGUGUGGAGUGCUGGCUAAGAGGGCCGGUAAAAGCCUUAAGACCAGGCAAGGACAGGUUUGCAGUGACCUUCAUGAGAGAUGUGACUGAUGCAGGGGAGUGUGUGGCGGACUCAGUGGAAGGUGAGCCCGUGAAAGCACGAGCAUAUGGACAACUCUCCAAGAAGCUCACUUCUCUGGGUCUCUUCUAACAGGGACUGUGACUUCAUAACUCAAGAAUACUUAACCACAUAUACUUAAAUAGAGUUUUUUUCCUUUGUGUGUUCCAAGGAUCUACAGAUUUUGGAAAUGUUACUUUUGUGGUUCCUGGAAUUCAUCCAUAUUUUCACAUUGGAUCUAAUGCCUUGAAUCACACUGAACAGUACACUGAAGCUGCUGGGUCACAGGAAGCUCAGUUCUACGCUUUGCGGACGGCCAAA